CGUCUAGGUCAGGACCUCUGCUCCCCCCGUCUAGGUCAGGACCUCUGCUCUCCCCGUCUAGGUCAGGACCUCUGCUCUCCCCGUCUAGGUCAGGACCUCUGCUCUCCCCGUCUAGGUCAGGACCUCUGCUCCCCCCGUCUAGGUCAGGACCUCUGCUCUCCCCGUCUAGGUCAGGACCUCUGUUCCCCCCGUUUAGGUCAGGACCUCUACUCUCCCCGUCUAGGUCAGGACCUCUGCUCCCCCCCGUCUAGGUCAGGACCUCUGCUCUCCCCGUCUAGGUCAGGACCUCUGCUCUCCCCGUCUAGGUCAGGACCUCUGCUCUCCCCGUCUAGGUCAGGACCUCUGCUCCCCCCGUCUAGGUCAGGACCUCUGCUCCCCCCCGUCUAGGUCAGGACCUCUGCUCCCCCCCGUCUAGGUCAGGACCUCUGCUCCCCCCCGUCUAGGUCAGGACCUCUGCUCCCCCCCGUCUAAGUGGAUGAGAAAGAGUAGCAUUACACUAAUUUAUACAUUGAUUCUAAUAUGUAGACCUAUGGAAUAGCUGCAGUAGAACUACAGAUGAGACCCAGUAGUGUGUGUUAGUGAGAGAUAAUCUAAAUUGUUCUAGGUGUUUUACAUCUACUAAGAUGAAAGCAAGUUAGGUUGUACAGUUGUAUCUGGAACGUUUGGGGAUACAAGGAUCACCUCGAGAUAUAUAUAUAUAUAUAUUUGACUGAGGACGAUCUCUAUAGUUGAUUGCAGCAUGAAAUCCUCUGUCGGUCACAAGAAAAGCGAUUUGCUCGUCACAUUUCACUCUGAGAUGUCGUUAGCUAGCUGCGUAUGUUAGAAGUAGUUCUCGAUGUAUAUGUGGGGACCGUGAAAUGCGAACAUAGUUUGUUUGUGGUCAUGAUUCGUCAUGGAUCUGCAUCCCUCCUCGUUCAUUCGUCGUGUUCUGUAUGUUUGAUGAUGCUGUGGGCAACAGUGCAUUGAAGUGCUGCUUUCUUUACUAGAAAUCACUUUUUAUUUUUUACACUUUAUUUUUUAUUUUUUGUAUCUUUUUUUUUUUGGAGAGUCUCUUCUGACAGGUAAAACACUUUGAGCUGUUACACAAGUGCAGUCAAUGAGUUGUUAAUGAUCGAUUACAGUGUGACGACUCCCCACCCCCCACCCCCUUCCCUCCGUGUAAUAAUGCACUCUUAUUACUAUUGGUAAAUCACUCUAGGUAUGUACUGUAUCAUAACAGCCAGCUGAUAACAUGUCUGUUACUAAGCAACUUCAAAAUAAACCAGAUGGCUUAUUAUUGUUAUUAUUAUUAUUAUUAUUAUUCAUCUGAGUUCAUUAUUUCCACCUUCUCCGUGUACAAAAAAAUAAAAAUAAUAACAAACAAAAAAGUUUAGAAAGGAAUACAAAUCAUGAUUUUUAUCGAAUGCAAAUGUUAUGUUGUCAGGCUAUCAUUUUUUUUUUUAAGAAAA